ACGGAAGGCAGCAGUGGGGAAUAUUGCACAAUGGGGGAAACCCUGAUGCAGCGACGCCGCGUGAGUGAUGAAGUAUUUCGGUACGUAAAGCUCUACCAGCAGGGAAGAUAAUGACGGUACCUGACUAAGAAGCCCCGGCUAACUACGUGCCAGCAGCCGCGGUAAUACGUAGGGGGCAAGCGUUAUCCGGAUUUACUGGGUGUAAAGGGAGUGUAGGUGGCCUGGCAAGCCAGAUGUGAAAGCCCGCGGCUCAACCGCGGGACUGCAUUUGGAACUGUUAGGCUUGAGUGCAGGAGAGGAAAGUGGAAUUCCUAGUGUAGCGGUGAAAUGCGUAGAUAUUAGGAGGAACACCAGUGGCGAAGGCGGCUUUCUGGGCUGUAACUGACACUGAGGCUCGAAAGCGUGGGGAGCAAACAGGAUUAGAUACCCUGGUA
rnacentral:rRNA from 1 species